UACAGAGGUCUCAAGCGUUGUUCGGAUUCAUUGGGCGUAAAGGGUGUGUAGGUGGCGCGCUAAGUCGGGUGUGAAAUUUCGGAGCUUAACUCCGAAACUGCAUUCGAUACUGGCGUGCUUGAGGACUGGAGAGGAGACUGGAAUUUACGGUGUAGCAGUGAAAUGCGUAGAUAUCGGGAGGAACAUCAGUGGCGAAGGCGGCCUUCUGGUCCAGUACUGACACUCAAGUGCGAAAGCGUGGGGAGCAAACAGG
rnacentral:rRNA from 1 species